AGUGGCGGACGGGUGAGUAACACGUGGGAACGUGCCUUUAGGUUCGGAAUAAGCCCGGGAAACUGGGUCUAAUACCGGAUGUGCCCUUCGGGGGAAAGAUUUAUCGCCUUUAGAGCGGCCCGCGUCUGAUUAGCUAGUUGGUGGUGUAAUGGGCCACCAAGGCGACGAUCAGUAGCUGGUCUGAGAGGAUGAUCAGCCACAUUGGGACUGAGACACGGCCCAAACUCCUACGGGAGGCAGCAGUGGGGAAUCUUGCGCAAUGGGCGAAAGCCUGACGCAGCCAUGCCGCGUGAAUGAUGAAGGUCUUAGGAUUGUAAAAUUCUUUCACCGGGGACGAUAAUGACGGUACCCGGAGAAGAAGCCCCGGCUAACUUCGUGCCAGCAGCCGCGGUAAUACGAAGGGGGCUAGCGUUGCUCGGAAUUACUGGGCGUAGAGGGAGCGUAGGCGGACAUUUAAGUCAGGGGUGAAAUCCCGGGGCUCAACCUCGGAACUGCCUUUGAUACUGGAUGUCUUGAGUGUGAGAGAGGUAUGUGGAACUCCGAGUGUAGAGGUGAAAUUCGUAGAUAUUCGGAAGAACACCAGUGGCGAAGGCGACAUACUGGCUCAUUACUGACGCUGAGGCUCGAAAGCGUGGGGAGCAAACAGGAUUAGAUACCCUGGUAGUCCACGCCGUAAACGAUGAUUGCUAGUUGUCG
rnacentral:rRNA from 1 species